AAUAUUUUUCCCUCUCACUUUACCAAAUCGAUUUGGUAGCUCUCACUUUACCAAACCGAUAGGCAGCUCUCACUCUCUCAUUUCCCCCAAAUUGCUUCAGCGGACGACCUCCCAAAUCGAUCUCUAUUUGCAAUGACUCAUAGGAGUUUUCCUGAAAUCUCUAUUUCAGUUUUGCGUUCUUGGAUCUUUGAGAUUUUUCUUCAUCCAUAAGUAUUCAUCAAAGUCAAAUAGUGGAGCUGUUGCUAACCGAAAUACUGCAUAUGGGAAACACAAAGAAGAAAUACUUUAUCAGCUUCGUGAAUUAUCAAAGUUGGAACCAAAUUCCGGUGAUGAUCAAGAUGAAACUGUACCAACUAUAGGAUUUCAGUAUAUGGAACCUUCCCAAAAUCUUCAAUCGGGCCCUAAAGGUUUAAGAUUUAUGCAAAAGAUAGAGCAACAUAUAGUUCCUUCAUCUGAGUUGUAGCAAGGAUGGGAGGAAAACAAAGGAAAGAUGAACAAAAUAAGUAAAAUCUGGUAUAAGUGAGCUGAUAUGAGUCUGACGGCAUUUCUCGUAAGCCGUCAGAGAUGUGGUAAGCUACCAGAAAAAGGUGUUAGAAAGAAUAGUGGAGAAGAGUUGCUGGAUAAGAGUGUUGACAUUCUCAAUAUGUCAUCACAAGUGUGGUAAGCCAUCAGAAUAUGCCGUCAGAGUGAGGCAGAACAUGGUGAAAUAAGCUGAAGGUCUGACAACAUUUACUACACGCCGUCACAAGUGUGGUAAGCCAUCAUAGGACAUCAUCAAAGUAAGGCAGAACAGAUCAAGAUGGCAUGACUUCUGAUGACAUAUCUGAGACGCCGUCAGAAGCCUGACGACCAACACCAAUAUGGCGUCACCUAAAUCUGAGCCCAGCUGUGAUUUUAUUAUUUUAUUUCCUUAAUUAGGCUUUAGUAUAAAUAGCAGUUUUUAUGGUUUUAAAAAGAGGAAGUUUUUCAUUAUUCAGAACAAGAAUUUUGGAGGGAGAAACACGUAUAUUGUUCUCUUGUUUUCCAUCUAUACGUAAGUUUAUCAUUAUCAUCA